ensembl:lncRNA
UAUUUGUAUUUUAUUUUAUUUGAAAGUUGGACAGAGCUGCAACUCUGAUGAUGAGGUUAGCUGUUUGUUUUUAUUUUAUUGUAUUUUAUAAUUUUUUUCUUUCUAUUUUUUAUUUGCCUAGUUUAAUAUUUUUGUUCGUUUAUAUGUUUUUAUUUUAUAUAAAAAGAUGAGGACACAGCUACAGCUCUGAUGAUGAGGUUAGCUGUUUAUUUUUUAUUCUAUUUUUCUUUUCUUUUAAUUGUUUAUUUUAUUAGGUUAGUAGUUUAUUAUUUAAUUUUUUAUUUAUUUAUUUGUAUGGAAAGAGAAGUUACAUAGCUGUUCUGAAGAUGUUAGCUUUAUUUAUUUAUUAUUUUUAAACGACAUCUCCAAACAAACUCACUUUCAUGAGCUAUUAUUAUUAUAUUAGUGGAUAGUUGAUUUUGAACAUUAAAUUUAGUAUUUUAUCAUGUAAAUCAUAAAGCAUUUUGUGUGUGUGAAAUGUUUUACUUGAUACAGUAGAUGUGUUAUCUUCGUUUAAAAUAAAUUAAAAUAAAAUAAACACAUUUAUUUGCUUUUCAAACGCUGGUGAGCUCAUGGUGAUGGUAUACUGUAUUGAGUCUCAUUGCAGUGGGAAAAUCUUUAGCAUUUCCUGUUAGUACAUUUUGAUGGGUAAAGUCAUAGGCUUGGAAUGCUACUUAGAGCAUAAAUUAACUACUUAGAGGAAUGCUCAUGUGUAUUUUCCUUCAGGGGCCAACUCAAAGAGACACCUCAGCACCACAAGAGAAAUGUUCCCCAAGACCAAUGUGCCGUCCACCUGUGUCAUCUGGUGUCUACAAGAUGGCUCAGUCAGUUUUACAGAAGUAUUCUGUCAGUGGAGGAGUCAAGGAUCUCUUAUCCCAAGCAACAUUGUGUCCCAGUGAGCUCAGAAUGUUCUGGAACCCAGCACCUCCUAAAUUCAUCUGUGCCCACUUUGUUAUGAAAGACACACUUUUCCCCAAAUACCAGGUACAGCGGCACCAUUAACAGAUGGACAUGUGCUUCCUUUUCAGUGUGCUGGGACUUUUAACAACACCUUUUUGCUGUAGAAAUCACAGCAUGCCUCCUCCCAUCAGCUUCCUGAGUUUUAGCAGCUCUGUGUCUGUACACUGACAAUGAUACAUGCUUUCUCUCUGUUAUUAUCUUGCUUCGAAUGUAAUUAUCUUGUAGUGCAUAAUAAAAGAGAAAUGGGGUGAAGCCCUUGAGGAUGA